rnacentral:lncRNA from 1 species
UCGGGAGGCUGAGGCAGAAGAAUCGCUUGAACCCAGGAGGCGGAGGUUGCAGUGAGCCGAGAUCGCGCCACUGUACUCCAGCCUGGGCCACACAGUGAGACCCUGUCUCAAAAAAGAAAACAAAAUGAACAGCCUGCAGUCUUCCUAGAAAUGACUGUUUAGGGAGUUGGGAACAGCUUGCCAUGGAGAGAAUUUAAGAUUGUCAUAAUAGGAAAAGGUAAGGAGUAGCGAGGUAGGGGGAAACAUUCAAUAAACAGCAGUCCUUUUCACUCUAAUAGAAAAACCUGUUCUCAGUUUUACCAGCAUAUUUAGAAAGGCACAAAGAGUUCAAUAUUGGAGUUUUCAGAAAGGAAUCUCAAAGUGAUUAUGAGAUGUAAUCAUUCAUCUUUCAUUCAUCAUCCAAAUAGGUACAAAGCACAAUGCCCAAGAUUGUGCUAAGAAUCGAGGUGCAAAAGAUAGGAUUUCUAUGCUAAUGAAACUUCUAGUCUAAUUGGGAAGAUAGACAUUGAACAACUAUUACAAUAAGCGUGACAUUGGUUGCAAAAAGGGAAGUGCCAGGUGCUAUAAAGUGACAGACUGGGGAACUACGGGUUUUGGGCAGUAGAAAAGUAGGAUCUGAAACAAUCUCAAGAAAUUGAUGUUUCAACUUAACUCCAAAAGAUAAGGACGAUUUAUUUGGCAAUGGAAAAGUGAGGGGAAGACAACUCCAGACGGUGGGAAUAGCCUGUCCUCACAACCCUACUAUGAAGUCACACAGGAUUACAUGCUUAAUUAUAUAGCUGGAGAAGUUGCAGAAGAAGAAAGUGACUUGUUCAAGGGACACUGUUUAACAGGGCACUUAAUUAGGACCAUAGGCCGCAUUCCUAACCUUUUUAGGGCAAGGCACACAAUUCUCUUUCUAAGGAAGACUCUCUUUCCUCACCAAAAUAGUAGCUGAGUCAAUCACUCCUAUAGCCCAUCAGGCACAUCAACCAAGCAUGAGCUAUACUGAUAUAAAAGAUAUCAAUUUAUAAUCUGUCCCACAGCUUUCAGGAUGAGAACUAAAGAGCCCUAAAGGUCUCUCAUGUAGGAAGAGGGUGGUGUGUAGUGGCAGAGAGGGAAGCUUCAUCAGUGAGAGCCAAGUGCUAAAAGCAGCUGCGUGUGACAUUUCCGUCAGCAGUCCUUCCUCCCUCAUUGUGUAUGAGACACACAUCAGAUGCUCUGGUUUAUGAUUUCAGCUUCAGAGUACAUACC